UACGUAGGGUGCGAGCGUUGUCCGGAAUUAUUGGGCGUAAAGAGCUCGUAGGCGGUCUGUCGCGUCGGCUGUGAAAACCCGGGGCUCAACCCCGGGCCUGCAGUCGAUACGGGCAGACUAGAGUGCGGUAGGGGAGACUGGAAUUCCUGGUGUAGCGGUGAAAUGCGCAGAUAUCAGGAGGAACACCGGUGGCGAAGGCGGUUCUCUGGGCCUUACCUGACGCUGAGGAGCGAAAGCGUGGGGAGCAAACAGG
rnacentral:rRNA from 1 species